rnacentral:rRNA from 1 species
AGCGAACGCUGGCGGCAGGCUUAACACAUGCAAGUCGAACGGUCCUUCGGGAUAGUGGCGGACGGGUGAGUAACACGUGGGAACGUACCCUUAGGUUCGGAACAACACAGGGAAACUUGUGCUAAUACCGGAUAAGCCCUUCGGGGGAAAGAUUUAUCGCCUUUGGAGCGGCCCGCGUCUGAUUAGCUUGUUGGUGAGGUAAUGGCUCACCAAGGCUACGAUCAGUAGCUGGUCUGAGAGGAUGGCCAGCCACACUGGGACUGAGACACGGCCCAGACUCCUACGGGAGGCAGCAGUGGGGAAUCUUGCGCAAUGGGCGAAAGCCUGACGCAGCCAUGCCACGUGGAUGAUGAAGGUCUUAGGGUUGUAAAAUCCUUUCACCGGGGACGAUAAUGACGGUACCCGGAGAAGAAGCCCCGGCUAACUUCGUGCCAGCCGCCGCAGUAA